GAUGAACGCUAGCGGCAGGCCUAAUACAUGCAAGUCGAACGGUGUCUUCGGACAUAGUGGCGCACGGGUGCGUAACACGUAUGCGACCUACCUUACAUUGGGGGAUAGCCUUUCGAAAGGGAGAUUAAUACCGCAUAAGACAGUAGCUGGGCAUCCAGCAGCUGUUAAAGAUUUAUCGAUGUAAGCUGGGCAUGCGUCCAAUUAGCUAGUUGGUGAGGUAACGGCUCACCAAGGCAAUGAUUGGUAGGGGAACUGAGAGGUCAAUCCCCCACACUGGCACUGAGAAACGGGCCAGACUCCUACGGGAGGCAGCAGUAGGGAAUAUUGGGCAAUGGACGCAAGUCUGACCCAGCCAUGCCGCGUGCAGGAUGAAGGCGUUAUGCGUUGUAAACUGCUUUUAUACAGGAAGAAACGACUCUUGCGAGAGGCAUUGACGGUACUGUAUGAAUAAGCACCGGCUAACUCCGUGCCAGCCGCCGCCGUAAGAC
rnacentral:rRNA from 1 species